ACUAAUUUGAAAAACAAUCAUUACGAGGAGGGCACAAUGACAUUCCUUAAGGCUUCUCUGGCUGUAAAUGUCAUGUGCCAGGUUGAAAGAGAGGCAAAAAGUAGGAAGUUGAUUGAGAUAUUCUUGGAUUCUUAAUUUAGAUCUAUGAUCCCAAACUACUGAUCACCAUUUAUUGCGAAAAGCAUCAUUUGUAGAUAAAGAAAUGAAACAUACAGACACUUCAUUCCCUGAAAACAUCACCAAAAUAACCUGUUCAUAAAGCAAGGAAAGAGUGUACAAAUCAUGAAAGGUGGAAGGCUGGAAUGGACUCCGUGGUGAUGGACUGGAACUGGAGAUGUUGCCAUGCUGGAACAAGCCCCACCAUCUUAUGAACUGCUUUUGACAGAUAUGGCUCACAGAGAAAGCUAAAGUUAAAACCUACAGACCUUCUUUGCUCUAGAAGGGGUAGAUACUGAAAGUAUAAAUGACUUAAUGUCUGAAAUUUCAA